AACAAGUCUCAACCUCGCCAUUUCUGCAGGGCUUGUAAGAGACAUUGGACUAAAGGUGGUACUCUAAGGAAUGUUCCUGUUGGUGGUGUUAGGAAGAAUAAGAGAGUCAAGAUAUCAACCUCUAUUAGCACCACCUCAAAAACUACUAUUAGCACCUCCUUCACCACCACCUCAAAUGCCAAUAGGCUGAAUAAAAAAAACACACCUUCUUCUAUGCAUGAAUCUCUUAUUCAUCCACCAUCUUUUUUGCCACCACAGAAUCUAAUCAGUACCAAAGAUCAAUC
rnacentral:lncRNA from 1 species